rnacentral:lncRNA from 13 species
CAAAAUGCAGCCUGUUUUUCCAAUGAGCAGAAAACAGUUGGAUGCUUGAAUAGAAUCUCCAGAUUCAUGGCAGCGAGGCAGAAUAAAGGUAUUGACGAGGGAAAGGUAUUACAUGGCCAUCCUCUGGCUGUUUCCCCCUUUCCACAUGCCAGGGGUUUAUACCAAGCAUCUGUAAUUUUCAUGGGUCGGCAGACUUCCAGAGAGUCCACUGCUGAAGAUGCCACCAUAAGUGUACACUUACAAGAAGCCGAGCAUCAUUCGCCCCAAUCAUCGCUCACGUGCCUCGGAAUACCGGCAAAGUGGCCUUUUGAAGGACUCCAAAGUUUCCAGAGAGGUUGUUGCCGACAGCGGAGCGCAUUUAUCAGAUGACAUUUCGGUCUCAAACGAUUCCCCCGACGGCUGUAAUUUGAGUGACAAACAUGAAAGGAUGGUGGCAGUGGUUCCAUCCAGCUUAACAGCAAGCGCCAGUGUGCCUUUUGGAGGUGAUUAACAAUCUCCUACACCCCGAGUGACCUUGACGAGGCCUGAGAAGAAUAGCCUAUCAUCCCAGCAGUAUCAGCCAUGUCUGACAGGAAUUCACCUGCAGAAUACACUCGGUAGAGGGUCUGCCCACCAGGAUAGCAUAAAAAAAGAAGUUGGAGAGAGUCUUGCAAAAAUCACCGACUCAAACUGACUUGGGAAAAUAAUCUCAAGAUGUGCCAGGUUAGUGAUCUUAUUCCUGAAAGAAAUGCCAUACUAGAAGAUAUCCAGACUCUGUAUGUUCUCCAUUGUUUUACUGUACUCUAAUACUUUAUAUAUUAGCAAUUUGAUUGAAAUGUGUGUUCUUUUUAAGAAAUUGCUAAAAUAAUUUGUAUUAUACUAAUAAUGCUCUAUAUACACAGUUAUUUAAAUAGCCUGUUGUGUAUGUGUUUUCAGAGAGGAGUGAAGACCUCAGUAUAUCCAGUUUCAGUGGCGCUGUCAGUGACCAGGAGUGGCAGUGACCUGUCAAUCUCCCUGACCGAGUCUGACCUGAGGUACCAAAGGUGCCACAGAAUGUCGUCUAUGUAGACGGCCAUAGCAGGAGGACAGACAGCCCACCAGAGGAGUGCUACACCCAAGGACAGGGAUCUCCACAGCAUCAGCAUACACAGUCAAGAAUCACUUGACACUCCAGAGCCUAGGAACAGAUCUGAACCAAGUAGAGAAUCCACGUCUUAAGGAAUACCAUUGGAGAGGUACGUAUGAGUUACAUUACAAGUUUUGCCUUAUACUGGAAAUAAUCUAAUCAAAGUUUAUUUGUCACGUGCGCCUAAUACAACAGGUGUAGUAGACCUUACAGUGAAAUGCUUACUUACAGGCUCUCACCAAUGGUGCGGGGGAAAAAGUGUGUGUGUGUGUGUGUGUGUGUGUGUGUGUGUGUGUGUGUAAGUAAAGACAUAAAACAACAGUAAAAAGACCUUUGAAAAAAGAGUAGCAAGGCUAUAAAAAGACACCUGUUAGUCAGGCUUAUUGAGGUAGUAUGUACAUGUAGGUAUCGUUAAAGUGACUAUGCAUAUAUGAUGUACAGAGAGUAGCAGUAGCGUAAAAGAGGGGUUGGCGGGUGGUGGGACACAAUGCAGAUAGCCAGUUUAGCCAAUGUGCGGGAGCACUGGUUGGUCGGCCCAAUGGAGGUAGUAUGUACAUGAAUGUAUAGUUAAAGUGACUAUGCAUAUAUGAUAAACAGAGAGUAGCAGCAGCGUAAAAAGAGGGGUUGGGGUGGGGGGGGCACACAAUGCAAAUAAUCCGGGUAACCAUUUUGUUACCUGUUCAGGAGUUUUAUGGCUUGGGGGUAAAAACUGUUGAGGACCCUUUUUGUCCUAGACUUGGCAAUGCGGUAGUAGAGAGAACAGUCUAUGGCCUUCCUCAGACACUGCCUGGUUUAGAGGUCCUGGAUGGCAGGCAGCUUUGCCCCAGUGAUGUACUGGGCAGUACGCACUACCCUCUGAAGUGCCUUGCGGUCGGAGGCUGAGCAAUUACCGUACCAGGCAGUGAUGCAACCGGUCAGGAUGCUCUCGAUGUUGCAGCUGUAGAACCUUUUGAGGAUCUCAGGACCCAUGCCAAAUCUUUUUAGUUUCCUGAGGGGGAAUAGGCUUUGUCGUGCCCCCUUCACAAUUGUCUUGGUGUGUUUGGACCAUUCUAAUUUGUGUUUGAUGUGGACACCAAGGAACUUGAAGCUCUCAACCUGCUCCACUGCAGCCCCGUCGAUGAGAAUGGGGAUGUGCUCGGUCCUCCUUUUCCUGUAGUCCACAAUCAUCUCCUUAGUCUUGGUUACGUUGAGGGAUAGGUUGUUAUUCUGGCACCACCCGGCCAGGUCUCUGACCUCCUCCCUAUAGCUGUCUCGUUGUUGUCAGUGAUCAGGCCUACCACUGUUGUGUCGUCAGCAAACUUAAUGAUGGUGUUGGAGUCGUGCCUGGCCAUGCAGUCGUGGGUGAACAGGGAGUACAGGAGGAGACUGAUCACGCACCCCUGGGGAGCUCCAGUGUUGAGGAUGAGCGUGGCAGAUGUGUUGCUACCUACCCUCACCACCUGGGGGUGGCCUGUCAGGAAGUCCAGGAUCCAGUUGCAGAGGGAGGUGUUUAGUCCCAGGUUCCUUAGCAUGGUGAUGAGCUUUGAGGGUGCUAUGGUGGUAGGGCAGUGUAGAGUGCAAUAGAGAUGGCAUCAUCUGUGGAUCUGUUUGGGCGGUAUGCAAAUUGGAGUGGGUCUAGGGUUUCUGGGAUAAUAGUGUUGAUGUGAGCCAUUACCAGCCUUUCAAAGCACUUCAUUGCUACGGACGUGAAUGCUACGAGUCUGUAGUCAUUUAGGCAGGUUGCCUUUGUGUUCUUGGGCACUAGAGGUCGACCGAAUAUGUUUUUUCAACGCCGAUACCGAUUAUUGGAGGACCUAAAAAGUCGAUACCGAUUAAUCGGCCAUUUUUUUAAAUGUAUCUUUUAUUUAUUUGUAAUAAUGACAAUUACAACAAUACUGAAUGAACACUUAUUUUAACUUAAUAUAAUACAUCAAUAUAAAUCCAUUUAGCCUCAAAUAAUGAAACAUGUUCAAUUUGGUUUAAAUAAUGCAAAAACAAAGUGUUGGAGAAGUAAAAGUGCAAUAUGUGCCAUGUAAAAAAGCUAAUGUUUGAGUUCCUUGCUCAUGAGAACAUAUGAAAGUUGGUGGUUCCUUUUAACAUGAGACUUCAAUAUUCCCAGGUAAGAGGCUUUAGGUUGUAGUUAAUAUAGUCUUUAUAGUACUAUUUCUCUCUAUACCAUUUGUAUUUCAUAUACCUUUGACUAUUGGAUGUUCUUAUAGGCACUUUAGUAUUGCCAGUGUAACAGUAUAGCUUCCGUCCCUCUCUUCGCCCCUACCUGGGCUCGAACCAGGAACACAUUGACAACAGCCACACUCGAAGCAGCUUUACCCAUCGCUCCACAAAAGCCGCGGCCCUUGCAGAGCAAGGGGAAUAACUACUCCAAGUCUCAGAGCGAGUGACGUUUGAAACGCUAUUUUUUUCAUAGACCGAGUCACUGGUGCUUCCUGCUUUAAUUUUUGCUUGUAAGCAGGAAUCAGGAGGAUAGAGUUGUGGUCGGAUUUACCAAAUGGAGGGCGAGGGAGAGCUUUGUAUGCUUCUCUGUGUUUGGAGUACAGGUGAUCUAGAAUUUAUUUCCCUCUGGUUGCACAUUUAACAUGUUGAUAC